rnacentral:rRNA from 1 species
CCUACGGGAGGCAGCAGUGGGGAAUAUUGCGCAAUGGGCGAAAGCCUGACGCAGCGACGCCGCGUGAGGGAUGAAGGUUUUCGGAUUGUAAAGCUCUUUCGGAUGUGACGAUGAUGACGGUAGCAUCUAAAGAAGCCCCGGCUAACUUCGUGCCAGCAGCCGCGGUCAUACGAAGGGGGCAAGCGUUGUUCGGAAUUACUGGGCGUAAAGGGAGUGUAGGCGGUUUAGUAAGAUAGUGGUGAAAUCCCAGGGCUUAACUUUGGAAUUGCCAUUAUAACUAUUAGACUAGAAUUACAGAGAGGAUAGUGGAAUACCCAGUGUAGAGGUGAAAUUCGUAGAUAUUGGGUAGAACACCAGUGGCGAAGGCGACUAUCUGGCUGUACAUUGACGCUGAGGCUCGAAAGCAUGGGGAUCAAACAGGAUUAGAUACCCCUGUAGUC